CGGGGUGUAGCGCAGCCAGGCAGCGCACCUGCUUUGGGAGCAGGGGGUCGGAGGUUCGAAUCCUCUCUCCCCGACCA
rnacentral:tRNA from 1 species